rnacentral:rRNA from 1 species
UACAGAGGUCUCAAGCGUUGUUCGGAUUCAUUGGGCGUAAAGGGUGUGUAGGUGGCGCGCUAAGUCGGGUGUGAAAUUUCGGAGCUUAACUCCGAAACUGCAUUCGAUACGUGGCGUGCUUGAGGACUGGAGAGGAGACUGGAAUUUAUGGUGUAGCAGUGAAAUGCGUAGAGAUCAUAAGGAAGACCAGUGGCGAAGGCGGGUCUCUGGACAGUAACUGACGCUGGAGGAGCGAAAGCGUGGGGAGCGAACAGG